rnacentral:rRNA from 1 species
GAUGAACGCUGACAGAAUGCUUAACACAUGCAAGUCAACUUGAACUUCGGUUUGGGUGGCGGACGGGUGAGUAACGCGUAAAGAACUUGCCUCACAGAUAGGGACAACAUUUGGAAACGAAUGCUAAUACCUGAUAUUAUGAUUUUAGGGCAUCCUAGGAUUAUGAAAGCUAUAUGCACUGUGAGAGAGCUUUACGUCCCAUUAGCUAGUUGGAGAGGUAACGGCUCACCAAGGCGAUGAUGGGUAGCCGGCCUGAGAGGGUGAUCGGCCACAAGGGGACUGAGACACGGCCCCUACUCCUACGGGAGGCAGCAGUGGGGAGUAUUGGACAAUGGACCAAGAGUCUGAUCCAGCAAUUCUGUGUGCACGAUGAAGUUUUUCGGAAUGUAAAGUGCUUUCAGUUGGGAAGAAAAAAAUGACGGUACCAACAGAAGAAGUGACGGCUAACUACGUGCCAGCAGCCGCGGUAAUACGUAGGGCGCGAGCGUUGUCCGGAAUUAUUGGGCGUAAAGGGCUCGUAGGCGGCUUGUCGCGUCUGCUGUGAAAACGCGGGGCUCAACUCCGCGCGUGCAGUGGGUACGGGCAGGCUGGAGUGCGGCAGGGGUGGCUGGAAUUCCUGGUGUAGCGGUGGAAUGCGCAGAUAUCAGGAAGAACACCGAUGGCGAAGGCAGGCCACUGGGCCGUCACUGACGCUGAGGAGCGAAAGCGUGGGGAGCGAACAGG